rnacentral:rRNA from 1 species
UGGAUGAUGUGGAUUAAUUCGAUGCAACGCGAAAAACCUUACCUACCCUUGACAUGUUCGGAAUUCCGCAGAGAUGUGGAAGUGCUCGAAAGAGAACCGGAACACAGGUGCUGCAUGGCUGUCGUCAGCUCGUGUCGUGAGAUGUUGGGUUAAGUCCCGCAACGAGCGCAACCCUUGUCAUUAGUUGCUACGAAAGGGCACUCUAAUGAAACUGCCGGUGACAAACCGGAGGAAGGUGGGGAUGACGUCAAGUCCUCAUGGCCCUUAUGGGUAGGGCUUCACACGUCAUACAAUGGUCGGUACAGAGGGCUGCCAACCCGUAAGGGGGAGCCAAUCCUUUAAAACCGAUCGUAGUCCGGAUUGAGGUCUGCAACUCGACCUCAUGAAGUCGGAAUCGCUAGUAAUCGUGGAUCAGAAUGUCACGGUGAAUACGUUCCCGGGUCUU